ensembl:lncRNA
CCGCUCGGCCCCGCCGCCGCCGGACCCCCGGCCGGGGAUUGGGAGGGGGGGGGCGCGGUCCCAGCCAUGUGCCUUCAACCACUCUGGAGAAAUGUUGGGAGGAGCUCUCAGUGCGAUCCUUUCCAUACCUUCCAAGGAUUUUUAGGAUCGUGGGAUUUAUGGACCUGCAAAAUCCUCUGGAGAACAUCAGCCACCGACAAAACCAUCUGGAAAUUCCUGCUGUCUUUUUGCCCUGUCUUUCCUGAGUCACCGAGUCUUGGGAAGGAAGCAUCUCUGCUCUGAGGAUUACAGCAAAUCAGUUGCUUGCCGUCCUUACUGGAAUACCUUCCCUUUCAGUUGCUCAGAACAUAGCAAUUACUGAAGAAGGCAGAAGGAUAUUUUUUCCCUUUCACCGAGCUUUUGCAGCGCAGCAGUGGCUGUGUCCGGCUAUGUAGAUGGUUUCCACAUUCUCUACCCAAUUUCUUUUCCUGAUGUUUAGGAACUGAAUCAUUCUGUUUCCCUACUAGCCUCUGCUAAAGGAUGCUGCUGCGUCACUUGCAUUCUUCACCCCUCCUGCCUUGUUGGGAAGGAGCAACCCUCCGAAGCCGGUGGUAACUCUUUCCAGGCUUCUCACAGCAGUGCUUGGGGCCCUUCUGUGCUGCCUUGCUCCAUCCCAAAGCACUUUGGGACCACAGGGUCACCACGUAGGGUUUGCUCUGUAGCAGUGCUGGUUUUCCCUGUGCCAGACUGCCUCCCAAAAAGCUCUUGUCUCUCCCUGACACGUUCUCAGAUCUCGAGUAAAAAUAGUGUAACGAUUAUUGUAGUGUGGGAGAGCAGGGAACGCUGCAGGAAGCAUUUGGAAAAUGUCUGUUGCAAAUGGCUGCCAGCUAAGAUUGAGCAGAAGCAGGGAUUGACUUAGAUACUUAAAGCUGUGUGUCAGUGUGAGAAAGUGCAUGUCUCAUCCUUUCUGGGUCUUUCCUAGCGAGCACGUCCCUCUGGGGCUUGGCUGCAGGUCCCAGGGAUGCAGUGCGGGGCUGGAUGAGUGCAUGGGAUAUACCUGCCCUCAGUACAUCCCAACCUGGGGUAGAACUACACAGAUGGCCUGAGCAGGAAUAACCCAACUUCAGAAGGGCAGGAAGUGAAUGUCUGAUUACAACCUGCAAGCCUGUGCUUCUGUAUGGCAGCGAUAGCCUGAGCACGGUUAUCUUGAGCAUAAUUGUUGCUGCAGUGAUGGAAACAGCUGAUUCUAGAUAAAAAGAGGAAGAUUUGGUAGAAGACAUCAUAAUAUCUUUUAGAUGCUUUAAAUUUUGUCUUUUUCCCCCAUGGUGCAGAGGUUGCUCCACCUUGAAUGGGUAUUUUACAUGAGCCUUCCUCUCAAAUUAAGUAGGAUCAUGUUUCUUCAGCAUUUAGUGUGAAUCUUGAUGCCUGGUGGUGUAUUUCAGCCUUCCAAAGAGACAUGUAAGAAUAAAGCAAGAUGAUUCACUGCAUACUAAAAUGUUCUACAUGUAAAAUAAUAAUAAUUAUAAAUAAAUAGAAAAGUUUCUGUUUCAGCUUUGCAAUAAAACUAUAAAACUCACCAGCCAGUAAACAGUGGAUCUCCUGUUCCCAUGGAGAAGGGCUGCUGCAGACCUAAAAGCUUGCUGUGGGAAAGAAAAAAAAUAUAAAUCAAAAAGAUCCACUCUUGGUCUUGCAAACAAAGGUUGCCUUGGAUUGUGGUCACAUGUUGCCGUUCAGCUGAUCGAGCUCAUGCCAAAAGGGGAAAGCUUUCUAGUACUUGCUUGAACCCCACUGAACUGGUUUAGGGAAUUAAUUAGAGGAAAAAAAACUCUUCACCUUUGUUUUCUCCCUUGCCGGUUUUCUCCUAGACCCGAUGGCCCUGCAUGAACUCACCAGCCCAGCCACCCCUUCCAUGACUUGUGGCCACCAAGUGAACUUGACUGUGAUUUAAAUUGCACCCUCAGCAAAGGGGAUUUGGCUUCUCCCUGCUGAGGAAGAAGGAGCCUGCCAAAUACCCAAAUCUGAGCUUUGUAAAUCAUACCCAGCAAUUCUCGGUGGCCAAGUUGCUUCAAGGAUAUAAGGAGGAGUAACACCUGUGAGACCUUCUAGGGAUGAACUCCAACCCCUGGGAAUAUCAAAGGUGUUGAUAAGCUGGUGUUGCUGGCAGCCCUUCUGGCCUGACCUAAUACUCUGUGUGCAUAUGUUCUGUAAAUAAAGACUAGGUCAGACUCCUUCCCUUGAAAACAUCCUCUGUCCGUGCCUGUGGAGGUGGUCAGGAGACCUUCCUAAGGAUGGAGACUGAAGGUUGUGUGAAAUUAUCCAAAAUCUUUGGCUUCACUGAGUUGGUGUUAAGGUACAUACAUAUGUUUCAUGCAUCACACAUAGUUUUGAGGACAAACUCAGUGCAGCAGGCUUAGCUGUCAUCCCAGGCAGUUCUCUCACGGCUCAGGACUUGCAUCUGAUCUUUACAAAGCUCAUCAGAUAGCUGGUACCAGAAAGCGCUUUUCUUUGAGGUGUAGUGUAUCAGCAGAGCUGGGUAUUGGAUUGCUUUGCAGGAUUUUGUUGCCUUGUCAUAUCACGGGGCUUUUUUUGGUGAAGGUUAUGAAUUCCAUCACACACUGACCCUGUUGUCCUCUGUAGCAGAUGAGCCUUGGGUUCCUGGCUGGCACUUUCACCUAAGGGUGAAAGUAGUAGGAUGAGGUAGUGCACCCAGACCUGUUAGUUUGGAAUAGGAUGGUGGUUAUAUCCCUCUUUUUUUUUUUUUUUUUAACCCUGGGUAAGUAUGUGUUAGGGUGUGCUGAAGGAAGAAGGAAGGAUGAAAACCACUGUAAGUUGGAAUUGCCCAGCGAAGAGCCUGAAUCAGCUGUAGAGGAUACUGAAAAUCUUGGUUAGAGACCAGUUUUUUAUUGUUUCAAUAUUACUAUAUCAUGCAGUGAAAAAGCAUAUCUGUUUCUUGGAUGAGGUGGAAUUAAACGCUUGCCUCUUCCCAAGUUUAUUGUGCUUCCCUGCGGCACCACACACUUUGUUUGUAGCAUCCCGCAUGGGAGAUGAAAGGGUUUGGUGUAUACUGCCUUUGGGGCAGUGUGGAUUUCUCCUCAAAAACACAGAUUCUAGUUUUAAAUGCCUAAAAAAUGAGAUCUGUGCCUUAUCUCUUGGGAGAUCGUUGAUGGAUCCAUUUCUCAAAAAGAUAUUUUAUUCAUUCAAACUAUUCAGUUCUUUAAUUCAGAGCCACUCCCUUCAUUCGGAUGCCUGGAGUCUUUUAUCAUGUCUCCUCUUACUCAUUGCUUAGCCAAGUUAGACAUACUUAGUUCUUUUAAUCUUUCCUAGUAACUGAGUGUCUUUAAUCAUCCUGCUUGAUGUCAGAGUGUUUGAUGCCCACUUUUACUGAAAGUAAGCCUGGAUUUUGUGUGUGUGCAAAUCACUUGGGAAGUGAUCCAGGAGAGCAGGAGUAGCUGAGCAGCUGCAGCUGGUUGCACAGGCUCACUCCUGGAUUCCUCAAAAGCUCCCUCAAAUAUCCCAGUGUGGGUGCUGGGGAAGAUUCUUGGCUCACCUCGUAUGCCAGCAGACUUGGCACGCUUGGGGAUUAAUUAAUGUUUUUGUUGGAUGUGGGCAGCAGCUCCCCUGAAGACGUCUCAUGGCUUGGCUUUCCAGAGGCACAUUUCUCUGGACUUCCAUGGAACUAAUUGAAGAUGCAGGUGUUGAUUAUGUUUGCAGAAAACAGGCCCAGAAAGGUUACCGAAACCUGCAUUUCCUUCUCUUACCCAUCAGCAACAAGGGCAAGAUAGAAGCUUAAUUUCCUUCUACAAAAUUCAUAGCAAAGCCGAGGGAUGAGCUGUUUUUCGGGAGCAAUGAUUUUGCUACGUGCUGUUAGUGCAGCUCGUCUACUCUUGCUGCAGGUAUUUAUGUUGAUUUUCCAGAUGAGUUCAUAUAUUUGCACCUGAAAAUAAUCAUUCAUAAAUUCUUAAACUACUGUGAAUGUAGGGAUUGUUGCUGCCUGUUGCUGAGCUAUGCAAUGUAUCACCUCAGCAGUGUCAUCAGACUUGGCUUUCUGGAGUUAAGCAUCUGCUUUCCUUCUUUGAGAUAUAAGUCCACAGUUUGCCCCGUCUUAUUUCCGUGGGAGCAAUGGGUAUUUCUCUGUUUCAGAAAGCCUGGCCUGAUCCAAGCCCAGUGUUGACUCACAUGGGUUAAUGCAGCGCAUCUCCGGGUUUGCUGGCAUCAGCACUGAGGCAGCUCGGGGUGGCACCUCUGAGUGAAGGAGGAGCAUGGACUUUGAAUCACAGAGUGCUUGGCAGCAAAUUAAAGAAGCUCAAAGACUGCCUGUCCCUCCCCUUCAUCCUAUUCUGCAAGAAUGCUUCUCAUACUUCCCAAACAUAGCAGUGCAAAUGUCACUCAGUUCAGUACGCUGCCUGAUGAUGCUAUUCUGAUGUAAAGAAAGGUCCCAUUCCCCCACUGUGGUUCAAACUUGGUCUACCAAAGGGGCUGUGUGAUAUACAGCUACCCUUACAGGGGGUCCUGUGGCCUGGGAGGAGGAAGAAGAGCAAGCCCUGGUUUGGGGAGAAAGCAGAGCUUCAGCACAGAGCAGCACCUGGUGCCCUCUGGGUGUCCCUUGUCACCCUUCAGUGACCAGAGUGUAGUGUGGGGUGUCCCUAAGGCUUGGAGAUGGACAGUAGGAAAAGUGUGUGCCCUCUUGGUGAUGCUCGUGCCCUCUUGGCGAACAUCCCAGGAGCACCACAUGGAAGAGCCAGUAGGCUCGUUUUGGUGCUCCACUGCUGAUUCACUACAAGUGUUUGCCAUGAGAUGGGCACAGCAGUGUAGAACACCAUCCCCACCCCAGGGGCACAUCACACCCUGCGUGCAAUUACAUUCAUGUCGCUGGAGGAUUUUCACUCCCUACCUUUUUGAUUGCAACCUUGGGGACUGGAGUGAUCGCUUUUAUAUAAAAUUGGUUUACUUUACAGCAGUAUUUUGAAGAAGAAAGGAAAAGAAGCUUUUUGGUUGGAGGGAAGGGACAGAGUUUGGCUUGCUGACAUUUCUUUUGUUGCAAUGUUGUAUAGGUCUCGCUUGACUGCAAAAAGGAGAAAGGAGGAGUGUGUGCAGGGAGUUCAGGUCCUGCUGUGGCUUCUUGGGAGGUGAGGUGAGUCGUGACAGCCUUCAGCACUGCUAAGCUCAGAGGUACAAAUGCACCUGGGUUUCCCUGCAGCAUUUAGGUGAGACCUCUUCUUCUGAGCCUCCAGAUUUUUUUGUUAUGGGUUUCUUUGUGUUUUUACUUUUCCUUCUGAUGGGAGGAUUUUAGACUGCUGAUGUGAUCAGGGUUGUAGAAGGCUAUAGGAUCACACAAAACUUAUUUCUGACUGUGGCUUGGCUGUAUCUGGGAUUCACAGCAUGGGACUGCAUUCCCCUACAUUGUUAGUAUAUGAUCUACAUUUCUCUGGUUGAAUUGUAUGUGCGGUGUCUACACCAUGUGCAGGAGGACUUGAGUCCAAUAUGUUUCUUGUGGCUUUGGAUAUCCAAAAGAUAUUGAGAGCUUGGGCCUCUGCUAGCCUACCACGUGCCCUUGAGUUUUCUUCUCUUUUGAGAGGAGUUUGGACACAGCCCACACCUGUGAGCUUGUCUGAGCCUGCCCUCUGUGCUCAUACACCCUGACUGGCAGUGUAAGCACGUUCCUGAGGGAUAGGUAUCAUCACCGAGGCAGUGCAGUCCAACCGGGCCAUCUCACACUAGCUGUGGCGGUCCUGGUAGGGACCAGCGAGACAUCUGUUGUACCAGUGUCCCAGACUCAGAGAAUCGUCAAAUAUCCAGAGCUGGAAGGGACCCAAGAGAAUUAUCGAGUCCAAAUCCUGGCUCGACACAGGACCACUUGAAAUUCAAACCCUGUGUCUGAGAGCAAUGUCCGUGAACUCCAGCAGCUCAGGGCCGUGACCAAUACCCUGGGAAUCCUGUUCCAUGCCCACCGCCCUCUGGUGCAGACCCUGUCCCUAAUCCCCACCCACCCACCCCCUGACACAGCUCCAUGCCGUUCCCUCGGGCCCUGUUGCUGUCACAGAGAGCAGAGCUCAGGGCUGCCCCUCCGCUCCUUGUGAGGAGCUGCAGGUGCCAUGAGGCCUCCCCUCAGCUCCUCUGCUCUGGGCUGAGCACACCCAGGGACCUCAGCUGCUCCUCAUACAUCUUGCCCUCCAUACCCUUCACCAUCUCUGUAGCCCUCCUUUGGACUCUAAAAGUUUUGUGUCCUUCUUAAGCUGUGACACCCUGAACAGCACAUAGUGACACAGCUUCAGUGCUGGCACCUGUAUUGGGAUGGUAGUACUGAAAUACACUGUAUCCCACUAACUCAGCAGUGGUCUGCAGAUGUGAAAAUGUGAAAAAAUGAGCCCUAUGUGUCAGGGCUCUCUUGGUUAGCAUUUCUUUUGAAAUCUUUUGUGCACAUCGCUGCAUCUCCCAUGCGCUGGAAAUUCCCUCUAGAUAUCCAUCUGCCUUUGCUGAGCUGUCUCCUCCCCUGCACUUCCUCACCAUAAGCUUUUUCAGGACAGGAACUUUCUUUUCUGCAUGUGUUUGCAGAAUGCUCAGCAUGUGCUGCCCAGUCCAUAUUGGAGUGUGAUUAAAUAUGUUUUAAAAAUGGGUAAUCUUUAGAUAUACAAGCUUUUUUAUCUGAACAACUGUGACUCUGGAGGGCUUUUUGUGUGCUUCUCUCUCCCUGAUGCCCUAGAUGUGCUCUCAGAGGUGCGACCCAUUGCCUUGUGUUGAGAAAGGGACUGAUGCUGAUGAUGUGUUUCCAAGAUUCUCACCUGAGAUCAAGGAAAAUGCAUAAUUUGCUGCAUUAUGUAACUGUUGUUCAGUUGUAAGUUGGCAAAUAGACAGAAUGUGAGAGUGUUUGUAUAGUGAAGGAAAAAGAGUCACACUAACAUUGUAUGGCCACUCCUUUUGGUUAAACUCUGGCCAUGUCUAAAUGGGAGCUGUGUACACGUAUUUUCCUUCCAUCCAUCCACCUUGGGACCAGAAAGUGUUGCAGAGGUCAGGUGCUUGCUUCUGCCACUGGUCUCUUUGCUCUCAAGCCAUGCCUCAAUUCUCCAUCCAGAGAACAGAGAUAAGUUGAGUCUUUGGAGUUGUGAUAAUUACCUCAAGGUACCUAUAGGGCUGCAUCAGCAGGUUCUAGUCACGUGUUUAACUGGAGCUGGGUGCUUUCUGCAGUUUCAGUGGCUCUCAGUGAAAAGCCUCAUUUUCACUUGGCUGCUCUCAGUCUGGCUGGCUUUUCUCAGAUAAAGUUAAUUCAGCAUAACAGCUGGCUUCCCUCCUCCUCUCCACUUCUGGAAGCUUGCGCUGGUCUGACACCUUCAUCAUCAGCAGAAUGUUGGGGAUUGCGGCUUGGAUUUUUGUAACUCUUGCCCUCUCCUCAUUGCAGGGCCACCAAGCCCAUGAGUAGGUGCCAGGCCACUACGCCCGUCCAAGGCUCUCUCUCUGUCUUCUUGGUUUUUUUUUGCUGGGGUUGGUGGAAUGGAGGGAUUUGAGGGCCUGUGGGUUCCUUAAGCGCUUAAACAGGAGAAUGCACUCAUCUCCUUGGUAAAAUGAGCAGCCCACUUGAAGUGGUGAGGAGGGGAGGAUUUUAUAAGUCUUGAGAACACUGGCUAAAUAUUAAGAAGGACAGUUGUUAUCAGCUGUGCAGAGUCUGGUUGGGAGCCUGUAACUAGCGGUGCUCCCAAGGGGUUCGUGCUGGGACUGGUCUUGUUCAGUGUCUUCAUCAAUGGCCUGGAUGAAGGGAUAGAGUGCAUCCUCAGUAAGUUAUACAUACAAAGCUGGGAGGGGUGGCUGACACACUGGAAGGCUGUGCUGACGUUCAACAGGACUGGGUGUUCUGGUGGUCAGGAGGUUGGUCAUGAACCAGCAGUGUGCCCUUGUGGCCAAGAAGGCCAAGAUGUCCUGGGGUGCAUUAAAAAGAGUAUGGCAUGCAGGUCAAGGGAGGUGAUCUGUUCUGCCACAUUUAGAAUACUGUGUCCAGUUUUGGGCUCCCCAGUUCAAAAAAGACAAGGAUGUUCUAGAAGGAGUCCAAGGAAGGCCAUGAUGAUAAAUGGCCUGGAGCAUCUCCUGUAUGAGAAAAGGCUGAAUAACCUGGAUCUGUUCAGAAGACUGAGGGGGAAUGUGAUUAAUGCUUAUAAAUAUCUAAAGGGAGGUAGGAGGCAAAUGGAUGAGUCCAGGCUCUUCUUGGUGGUGCGUAUCAGUAGACAGGGAGCAAUGGCCUAAAACUUGAACAUAGGAGGUUCCACAUAGGCAUGAAAAGGAACUUUUUGCUAAGGGUGAUGGAGCACUGGAAUAUGUUGCCCAGAGAGGUUGUGGUGUCACCUCCUAUGGAAAAUUCAAGACCUGCCUGGAUGCCUACCUGUGUCACCUACUGUAAGGAACCCACUUUAGCAGAGGAGUUGAAUUCAGUGAUCUCUUGAGAUCCCUUCCAACCCCUGCAAUUUUGUGAUUCUGUGACUGUGCAUUGGGCUGAGGGGAGAAGUUUUUUUUAUCUGUUUUCUGGGGGCUAAAAACAGGUGUUUGGAGGACUGUGAGUUGCCUUGAAGGCUGAGAAGAAGGAUGCAAAUGCAAAUGAACUGUGAGACAUAAAAGGAGCCAUCAGAAUGCCCUGUUCUGCCACUAAGUUUGCCUCCACCCUGAGCAAUUUGCAUGGUGUAAGCUGAUCAUUCGUCAGCCUUGAGAAAAGUGGAUGAGUCCUGCCUGGGGAGAGCCUUUCAAACCUAAAGAUGUUACAGAGGGGCAAAAAGGGACUGAGCCCAGAGGCCUAGUUGGUUUCAGAUAGGCCAGGAGAUGGGUCUUGCUCAAUAGGGUGGGCUGUGUCUGCUUUCCUGGCUGGGAGCUGGGUCUCUGAGGAGGCUGGGUGCUCAACCUUGGGCGUUUUCAGUAGUGAGUAACUGCUAACGAUAACUCUGCCCCUCAGGAGGGCCCUGUAUGAAGCUUCCUUCAGGUUUUGCAAUAGCUGUGAUAAGUCGAUGCUGACCCUAGUGCACAUAGCAGCUUAAAAUCAUCUUCCGCCAGUGCAGUCUGUGGCUCAGGGCCCAGUGGUGAGCUACCAAAGCUGACUGCCUGUUUGCUGCUGCAGAAACAGUGUAGCAAUUAGUUUAAAUGUACCUGCAGGAGAUUUUAGGCUGUACUUUGCCUAAUGCCUGAAGGAACUGGGGCUGUUUAGUCUGUAAUGGAGGAGGCUGAGAGGAAAGCUCAUCACUAGCUGAAAGGAGGAUGCAAUAAGGAGAGUGUUGGUCUCUUUUCUCGGGUGACAAGUGAUAUAGAAGGUGAGGCAACAGCUUCAAGCUGCACCAGGGGGUUUAGGUUGAAUACCAGAAAGAAUUUCUCCAUGGAGAGGAUGGACAAGCAUUAGAACUGACUGCCCAGAGAGGUGGUAGAGUCCCCAUCCCUGGGGGUAUUUGAGACAUAUGUAAUGUGGCACUAAGGGACGUGAUUUAGUGAUGGGACUCAGUAGGUUACACUGAUGGUUGAGCUUUGUAAUCUUGCAGGUCUUUUCCAAUCUAGAUGUCUCUAUGAUUCUAUGUUUCACGCUGCUACUGGACACAAAGCUAAUCUGUUACUCUAGCCCAGCAAAGUGGUAACCUGUAAGGGGGUGGCAUCCCACCAGUGUCCCCAGCACUGAGUAACAGCACAGCUGGAGACCUCCUGGACAGCAUGGUGAUACUGAAUGUGGUGGGUAGAGGAGCUGAGCACUUCCCACACAGUCUUCCUCCUGCCUUGCCCACAUUUUACACCCAAGCUCUGUCCUCAUGCUUUUAAUGAAGUUGAUGCUUAUGCUGUGAUUUUGGCACCUGUCUCUUGUACCAAGCACUUUUGGCUAAUCCCUCACCCAUGGAUGGCAGUUCUCCUUCCUUGUUCACUCUUCCUGUUGUGUUUUUACUGCACAGCGGUUUGCAGUUGUGUAUGCUGUCCUGCAGAGUAAUGUGCCCCACUUCAGCUCAGUGAUGAUUUUAUUGUGCUACAGUCUAACUUUUUGCUGUUAACAAGCAUUUCCUCAGCAUCCUGUAAGCCAAGAUGCUGCCUCUUCAUCACAAAGCUUGGAUGUUCAUUGGCUCUGUGUGUUGGUCCUUCCCAUUUCUGAUUUCAUUUGAUACAUGCAGGAUAUAAUGGUAAACAUUUGGGCUUUCUCCUAUUUCAGGCAUUUUUGCUUCUCUAAAGUAACCCCAUGGGAUUACAAAUGUUUGCAUGAAUGCCCAGAUCAGAUCCUGGGAAGGAAACAGCAGGUUACACAGUCCCACUGCCACACACUGCUUCAUCCUUGCACAUGUGGGCACCACCAAAACUUUGGAUCAGAAGUUUUGAGGCCUUACAUCCUCUCAGAAUGCAGUCGCUAUAAAUCUGGAAAAAAUAAACAGUGACAUUGUUCCAUCUUGUCUUCCUUCAGCUCACUGCAUUUUCCUCUCCAUGUUCAGCUGUUCUUCAUCAGUGGCUCCCACCGUCAUUGUAGCCAGCACACGGUGGUGCUCGGGAGGAGCACGCCCUUAAAGCAAAGUGGUCCAUUCUGGUUUGUGAACUGGGUUGUGCGUAUGACCAUCUGGGUCUCACGUGUGGGGUCUGGCAGAGGUCUACAGGAAUGACUGACAUAGGUAUUUCUUUUCUGACGGGUGAAGUGGGUGAUUCAUAUACUUAGUUAACACUAAAUAUGGUUUUUUUUUCCCCCUCAAAUAUACAAGAUGAAGUACUGAAAUGUAUGCAUAUAUUGUCUGCAUUUAUGAUCAGAGCUAGCUGCUUAUUGCUUUUGUAGCAUCGCAGCAAUGUCAUGUUUAUGUGUUUUAUGAUAUUCUAACCGUGUCUUCUGGCUGGACACGGCAGUUAAACAUUAUAAUACAGCAGUCAUAAACCCGAACCAUCUGAUGACCAUAACCUAAUGCGUGGAUCUUCUAUACACAAAAGCAUUAGCGCAGGGUGGGUAGCUGAACGUAAGGUGGAUGUUUUUUAUGGAAGCGUCAAGAUGCUGGAUGUGAAAGAACCAGAUGUGUUCUGGUCUUUUAUUUAGGUUUUGCAUCAAUGGUAUGUUCAGUCUUGCUGCUUUCUAUUAAAGUUAAAUGUCUGUGGUGGGUUAAAUUGUAUGUGUACAAACAGAUGCUCUCAGAGGUGGUUUGUACCUUAGUCUGUGUGUCUUUUCUGCAUGAGCUCUCAUCCCUCCAUGCCUUUGCCUUGCUCACCAUUCACAGAUCUGCCCCUGACUUUUACAUUUCCCUAGAGUCUUCACUGCCUUUCCUGGAAAGCUUGAUGAUGUGACCAGGAAGGACUUGUUGAUGAGUUGGGGGAUGUCAUCCAGAUCUUGUGCAUAGCUAGGAGCUUGGGAUCACAGAGGUGGUGGAGAGGUGGGGAGCUGUCAGUGUCUCCUACAGCACAGCAGGACCUGGGGUGGAGACCCUGCACUGCUAGCCAGAACGGACCACAGGAGGUCCCAUUCUGCUUGUAGUGGGGCAGGGCAUCCAGAGCCAAGUCUUGUGAUCAUUCAGGAAUGGGGAUAUCACCUCCUUUCCAGGUGGCCCCUUCCAGCCCUACACCACCCUUCUUGCAGGAAGGAUUUGCCCAGUGCUCUACACAAUUCUCUCAGGGCACAGUUUGUGGAUGUUGCCCUUCCUUCUGUUGUUUACUGUUUCAACUGAGACGGGAUGCUCAGUGAGUUUAGAGGAAGCAGAGAGAAGUCUUCUUGGGCAUCAAGUGAUGGCACCAGUGGACAGCAAGUGCAUCCACAUGUCCUUCAGAGAUGUCUCAUGAAGGCCAGGAAAUCCUGAAUGAGGCUCUGAUAGCAACUUCUAGUGGGGAUAAUGUCCUCUUAUAAAUUUGACCCUUUUCCAGAAGACCACAUUCAUUUUCCAAGUUAUUAAACUACAUAUUGAAAACAGUAUGGAGCUAGAGUAAGGGGGUGGAGGUCAAGGAGGAUUUGUUGUUAAUCUGAAGUGUAUGAGCUAAGGUCUGAGUGCUCUGGGGUUUUUUAACCAUCACCAUGAUAAAUAUCUGCCUCCUCUAUCACAAACUGCAGACAUAUCAUAGAAUCAUUUGAGUUGGAAGGAACCUUUAAAGGCCAUCUAGACCAGCUCCCAUGCAAUGAACAGGGACACCUGCAGCUCAAUCAGGUAGCUCAGAGCCCUGCUCAGCCCAACCUUGAAUGUCUCUGGCUCAUCACUCUACAACUGCUUGAGAGGAGGUUGCAGCAAGGAGAGUGUUGGUGUCUUUUCUUAGGUGACAAGCAUUAGACAAUGUGGAAGUGGCCUCAGGUUGAACCAGGGUUGAUUUAGUUAGGAUGUUAGGAGUAAUUUCAUUAUGGAUAGGGUCUCAAGCAUGGGUUUGGUCUGCCCAAAGAGAUGAUGGGAGUCCCCGUCCCUAGAGAUACAUAAGAGCUAUGUGGAUGUGGCUCUAAGGGAUGUGCUUUAGUGAUGGACUCUUGGUAGUGUUCAGUUGAUGGUUCAGCUUGAUGAUCUUGAAUAUCUCUUCCAGCCUAAAACGUUACAUCAUUCUAGAUGAGAUGUCUAACUACUAGACAGCUAAGAUUAGGUAGAAAGCAAUCCUGCCCGUUAAUUCCUUAAUGUUGCUUGUGUAUAAAGUGAGUUCAGUAAUAACUCCUUGCUUUCUGGAAAUGGAGUAUAAAUAGGACAUUCGGAACUGCCGUGUGGUUACAGCAGUGGGCAGGUGACUAUGUUAGGGAUCACAGGCUGUGCUCAUCUUAGCCAGGGGCAACAUCUUAGAAAAUGCCAGCAUGCCAAGGGUUAAUUCAUAACCCUUGGGUAUCUCAUGGUGAACUGAUGAGUUCAGGUUUUGAAAGCAAUUUUACAGCUGCACACCACCACAAACUUUUUAUAUACGAUGUUCCCUUCAUGAAGCUUCAAAUAGCGCUCACGUCAGACUGAAAUCAAUAUCUGCAGGAGAGAUUAGGACAAUUUCACUUGAGGUUUUUGUUGUGGUUUCUUGCAGGAGGAAUAAAGAAGGUAGGAUAACCAAGGUCAGCACCUCACUUCAAGCUAUCAGUUGGACUGCUUGCGGGUGAGAGAUAUUAAGUUACCAUGUGUGUGUAAUUUAUCCUUUGUGCUGGUGACCAAGUAAUCCAGUAAAAUGGCAGCAAAAAGGAUAGGGAAGUUAUGAAAAUUUGUGCUGUAAACUGAACUGGCAGGAUUACACUCAGAGCUGUGUUUGGUUAUCAGGUGUCACAUUGUCUUUAGAAAGCACCUGAGAGGGAUUUUACUCAAAGUUUUGCAAUAGAAGUCUCAGUGCCCGUAAGUGGGGCAGAGUGUGUCUUUUCCAACAGGGGCCGUGUUGUUCCCUAUCUGGGUGUUCUUCACAAGUUUUGGGCAUGCCAGUUCUGAUUAUGGCUUGCAUUUGUUAUCGCUUAAUGUAAUUAAUGCCAUCGUUUGAAAUUGAUUAAUUAUUAUUUAAUAUCAUAGUAUCUGUCAUUACAACUUACUUCUACCUUGUAUUUAUUAUCCUCAUCUUUAUAGUAGUGUUGCUAAAUGCUUCCUAGACCUGGGAUGCAUGUGUGCCUCCUUUGAUAUCCUUAGGCACAUUAUCCAAUUGCAGAUUACAGGUGCUGACAACUGUCUGACCCAUUUUCUUUUGUUUGCAGCCUCAUUUUGCACCUUAACUUGGUUUUUGUGAAGUAAUUGAGCUAAAUACAGUAUUAUUUUAGUCUAAUUUAUACACAUUUGACAUUAUUAACGUUCUUGCUUUAUCUGGGUUAAUUCUCAAGGAUGGCAUCCUGGCAUUCUCUGCCAAUAGUACUUUCUGUGUACUUAAUAUAGAAUUAGCCUUAAAGGAAUGGGUUUUGAAAACUUAUUUCCAAUCUUCUGCUUAUUUUUGCCGUGUCUGGUCUGCUGACUUUAAGAAAAUUGCACUUCAGAAGAAGGCUGCCUUGACAACACUCUGUACACUAUAUGAUGCCAAGGAAAUAAUUUGCUGAAGAACCCCUAAUACAUGCAGUCCUUGUUUUCUUUCUUUCGUUCUUUCUUUUUUUUUUUCCUAGGAUAUCUGCUAUGGACCUUCUGGCUGAUUUUUCUCUUGUAAGAUCCAGAGCGAUCAUUGCCUGUCGUGGCAAGAGAAGAUGUGUACCAUCCACCACUCUUGCUGUAUGAAAGCAAGGGGUGCCUUUAUGACCUGCAACUUCUGCUUCUCUGUCAGCUGUUACUGGAAUGAUGGCCUGUGUCACUGGAGACUGCUUCAGAAAGUUUGUGAGACAGACACUAAGUCUAGUGAAUGGAAGAAAAUAUUUGUCACUGUCUUUAUUUGUCACUGCACCCACAGUCCUUAUUUCUAGAAAAAAAAAAAAGACUUAAGUUGUACAGCCAUCUUCUCUUCCUUCUUGUCCUCCAUCCUCACAUCUUAUUUUAAUGAGUAAUUUUGAAUGGAUCUGCAUCAAGAUGGAAUUUUGCCUUGCUUUGGAUAGUAUUCAACUAAGUAACUAAAAUUUCCUUCUGAGGUAGUGGGGUAGGGAUGGAUUUGGAUGGUGCUAGGACCUUGUGCUCCAACUUAAUAACAGGGGAAGAGGAAUCCAACAGCACCAACGUGUUCUUGGGGCAGAAAAGGAGCCAGAUUUAACCCUAAGGUCAAGUGAUGGAAGAAAAGUGAUCCCUCAUGGUCAACUCCAACCUGAAGGAGCCCAAGGAGCAUGAUGACCAUUUGAAUGACUCAUCUUUUGGUCCUGUUCAGAAGAUGAUGUUCUUAUUGCAUGGACAUUAAUGACCUUUGUUUCAUUGCCUUGUCUUUAAGGACUCAAGAUGGUGUUUGCAGAGGAGAUAGAGACCUGGUCUGCCAUGACCGUGUCAGUUUUAUGUAUUUGCAUAAUGUAAAUGCCAGCCCAGCUGAAUUGUGACAGGUGUAUUUGUUGUAGGCAAAUAAAGGUUUUCAAGAAGCUCUGGAGUUUCUAGUUUGAUAACCUGAGAAUGGUUACUUAAAAAGGUAUGUUUUGUGGGGAGACAUGGAGGGUUAGUUCCUUUGAGACAGAAGAAAGAUAAAAGGAUGAAAUUAUUACAACCAAAUUUUCCAUGUACCCUGACUACCAGUUUUGAGUUUGUCAGCCUAGGGAGGUGUUAUGCCUAAGCAGAGCGUCAGAGUCUCAUACAAGUGCCUUAGUGUGUUCAAUUUUACCUUGAUUUUACAUCAAAUUACUGUGUUGUGGUUUAACCUGGCAGGCAGCUCAGUUCCACACAGCCAUUUUCUCACCUCUCCCUCCCAGUGUGAUGGGGGAGGGAGAGAAUUAGAAAAAAAAAAAAAAAAGCACCACCACGAAGUAGAGUUUGUGAGUUAAGAUAAAACUAUUUAAUAAGACAGAAAAGGAAGAGGAAAAAAAUAGUAGUAAAUAACCACAAAACAAGUGAUACACAACACAAUUAAUUGCUUACCACCCACUGGCAGAUGCUCAGCCAGUCCCUGAACAGCUGCUACCCCCCCAGACAACUCCCCACUGUUCUUCAAGUUUUUUUGCAUGAUGCCAUAUGGUGUGGAAUAUCCCUUUGGCCAGCGUAGCUCAGCUGUCCUCGUUCUGCCCCCACCCAGCUCCUUGUGCCCUCACAGCCCCCUUCACUGGCAGGACAGUACAAGAAACUGAAAAGCUGAAACAUCCCUGGCUCUGAGCAGCACUGCUCAGCAAUAACUGAAAUGCUGUGAAUAAAUGUUCCAGCUGAAACCAGGACAUGCUGGACUGCAGAAAGAUGCCACUCUUGCUUUGAGGAGCACUGAAGCUUGCUACCAGUUAAUCAGAUUAGCACCUGUGGUCCUCAUCCUCAGUACUGGGGCUGUUACUGUUGAUUUCAUCAAAACAUUCUUUUCUGCAAAGAAAGGAGUCCUUACAGUUUGAUAGAGGCCACAGAGGUGUUAAAACGUUGAGCCUGAGGUUUUUCACUUAUUGCCACCUUAUUCAGUGAGAGCUCUGCUGAAGCUGAAAAGGUUUCAGCAGUGUGAAAUUGCCGAAGGAAAGGAAACACUCAACAUUUUCAGCUCCAUAGUCACCCAAGCCAUAGCUAGUUCCGGAAGGGUCGAUGAGUGUAUGGACAUGAGUAAGCCUUCUGAGACUAGCGUGGGCUCUAUCAGACCUAGCAGGGGUUUCCCAGGUCAGACCCGAAGCUCUCCACUCGAGAUCUGAAUAUCACUGCAGCUGCAUCUACAGGAAGGCUUGGGCUAACACUGUACAGUCAAAAAUGUCUAUUGUUCCCUUAAUAGACAAAGCUAUAACAGGAAAAAUGUCUUGUGUCAACCUGGCCUUUGAAAUACAAAUGAGUAAGAGCAACCUCACUUUUAAAUGUCAUCAUGUGCUUUGUGCACUCACUUUGUAAUUUGCUUGCUUGCUUUUCUGCGGUUACUGCAUUUCAGGGCUUUUGCUUCAAAUGAUGUUUCAACAAAAGGGAAAGGAGAGGAAAAGGCAUUUCUGGUGUUGCAUGGGGAGUUCUGUGGGGUUGCACUGACUUUGCUUCUACUUUUAAGCAUAAAGACAGGCAUUUUGUUCCUAUAAUGAGCCAGCUGGAAAUACCGGCAGCCUUGUUUUCUUAUUUCCUGAAGUUUGAGAGAAAGGGGCAUGAAGGAGCACUGUGCAUCUCUGCUUUGCAAACUUGGCUUUUUCUAUAUGCCCCACAUCCGAUUCAGAGUCUUUUGGGUCCUGGUGGCUUGCAGUGACAUAAUGAAGCUUCCUCUUGAUGAGGAUGGUCAUCCAGCGCUUGCAGCAUAGCAUGUGCCAUCCAAGCACCCUGCUUGCCAAAUCGCCUUGUGCUUUUGUUCACUGCCUUCUGCAUGGGGCACCUUUGGGGUUUGCUUAAAGUCCUGCAUCUGCUUGGUGGACAUCUGUUCCUUCACAGUGAAUCUUGUAGUGAGUGUGUGCAGAACUGACUCUGGAAUUGGGUAGGUCCUUCUGCAGGGAAGCUGGUUAUGGAAAUUUGGGGUUACACUGUGAUGGGCUGACUGGUUUGGGUGUUUUUGAUCUGUUUGUGAUUAAAUCUGAUGGUGACAAUAAAAACAGAACAAAAAAUAACAUGAAAAGUGAAUAAAAGUCCCAGAAGAAUAUUUUGGGUUGUCAUUGGAUCUCCAUCCACAGAAAUUUAAUUGUUUUAAAGUAAUUCAGUGACUAGCUUGAGUUGGCUUUGCAGCCUCCUGUCUGAGCAAUGGACAUUUCUGUGGAAUUAAUCAGAAAGAACUGCAGUUUCUUUUACCAUGGGCAGAAAUAGCCCUCAGACUGAGGACAAUGUGUAAUAGCAAUGACUGUAGCGGUUGACUUAGCCAGAAAUGCACAGCCAGUAAUAAACAGAAAAAUCAUCAGGAAAUAUGAACUGAUGAAUCUGUGCUGAAAAUUGCUCAGAGCUUUACUGUGAUGAGUGGGUAAGGGAGUUGGAAAGAGCAGUGGGAGUUUUGGAGUGAGGUGCUUAGACUGGAGGCAUACUGUGAGGUGGGAUGGGAUUGGGUGGGACAAGACAGCAUGGCAUGGGAUGGGAUAGCAGGGGAUGGCAUGGCAUGGCACGGUAUAGGAUGGCAUUGGAUGGGGCAGGGUAGGAUGGGAUGUCCAUGUACAUGCAGGUGAGUGGCAGAUCCACAGUUCAUUGGUCCUGGGAUUCAGCAGUUUGCUGAGUUGAAGACAAUGCUUGGACAGUCAUUGGUACUGCUCACACUGUUUUAAUUUGAUAAGGUGGAUGAUCUGUUUUGAAAACAAGAACGGGAGGAGUGGACGUCUUUUCAUCACUUUGUUGAUGUUGAAAUACCAUGUUGCAAUAUCUUAUGUUUUAAGAUAUUUAAAUGUACUUUACAAGUUGAUUUUGUAUUUUUCGUGUUUGUCUGCCACUCAAAGCGAGCUACUUUUCAAGUAGCUGUUGAAACUCCCCAGGCUGCCCUGGAACCUCUGCAUCAUCCCAGCAGCAGCCCUGGGCAGGAAGGAGAUGCUCUCCGCUUUCAGGUGGCCCAGAAAAGGGCUCAUCCUACUCUCACUUUCAUGGCUCAGCUGGUGCAAAUCUAUGUUCCUUCCAUGAGGGAGACUGAAUUCAUCCUGUCAGGUGUCUAGGAAGGGCUGAUAUGAGCAGUUUUUCCACUUUGUUUUAGCACCCACAGCCUUGCAGACCUCGUAUCUUGACACUUUCGGAAUUGGUUGGUGAUGUGCACAGUGGGCUCUCAGCUCAUUCUCCAAUUUUUCUGCCUUUCAGUGAAGAUUUUCCCCUCUCUGCUUUAAGCAUAUCACUUAAAACCACAAACAGUCUGGUGAUGUGGAGCAGGCUGCUGGUGCUCAUCCCCGUGGCACUUAAAGCACAGAGGAUGGUGUAAGUGGGAGAAACUCAUCGAAUCAUAAAAUGGCUUAGGUUGGAAGGGACAUUAAAGAUCAUCUAGUUCCUGCCAUGUGCAGGGCUGCACCCCACCAGCUCAGGCUGCCCAGGGCCCCAUCCAUCCUGGCCUUGAAUGCCUCCAGGGAUGGGGCAUCCACAGCUUUUUUGGGCCAACCAUUCCAGUGCCUCAUCGCCCUCUGUGUAAAGAAUUUCUUCCUCACAGUGCCAUUUCUGGGGUGAAGCCCCAGCCCUGCCAGUCACCACAGCCUCCUGCAAGGCUCCUGCACACAAAAAGCUGAGAUUCGGUGUGGCAAAACAGGGAGUUGUGAAGAGGCUUGGGGACAGCAAGUCUGUGCCAGCUCACAGUUUUGUAUAAGUUAAAUAAAUGUUGUCUUUUGAAGGAAGGUGUUGAAAUGCUCCCGUGGCCUGUUAAAAACAGUGUUGCGUUGGGUGAAGAGCUGCCAUCCCCUUUUUCCAUUUCCUUCUCCAUUUCUCUUUCCAUUUCCUUUUCUGUUUCCAUUAAUAACUUUAAGGUUUUUUUUGCUCCACGCUUUUUUAACUUUUUGUUCACUUACGACUUUCAAGGUGUGCUUUUACUGAGUUUAAAUGCUUUGCCUUUGCUUUCUUGAAAAUCACAGUCAGUAGAAUGACUGCUGUUAUCUCAGGUUUCCCCGGGCCUUCCCAUGGGCUGCUUUUGAUUUCAAAGGUACAUUUGUUGAAAAAAGGAAGAUUUCCACAAAAAUGCCCACUGCACCUCCAACUCGUUCACACAGGGCUCCUGUUGUGCAGCUGUCCUGUUUUACCGAGCAGCUGGAGUUACAGGCUGAUUAAAGGAGUAGGAAACCUCUUUCAAUUUAUUUCUGCUGCAUGUAUGUGACUUUGGGUGUGCUCUGCUUUUGGGUGAGCUCUGCAGGGAAAACGUGUGCUUAACGUGACUGAACCUCCUCUUUUGUAAGUUGAGAAUUGAUCCAAAUUUACCACUUGCUUCUUCUUUGAGAGCUUUUGGUAAUGGGGAUUAUUUAAAUCCAUGUUUUUCCUUCAGUUAGUUUUGCUCUGGGGUGGAGCUCAUCCAAUGCAAUCCUCCCUGGGGGCGAGGUGGGAAUGAGAGGGGUGCUGGGCACAUCACUUUGUCACCAUGCACCUCAUGGUCCUCAGCACUGCAUGCUGCUCCUGCUCAGCACUGCCCACCUUCGCUCCUUGUGCUAACAUAGCUGCCUUUCAGCUUAGGCUGCACAGCACCUCUCCAUAUACUUUUUUUUUUUAACAUGAAUUUGCAAGGGAAGGUUGAUUGAAGUUGGAUCCAAGGCUCUUCCCUGUUGUCAUGUUGCAGGAGAGCAACCUGAGCUUCAUCAAGGCUUCUGCGAGUGAAAAGUGUUAGGUCUCAGUGGCUGCAUUUGGUUCAGAAGCAGAAAAUGGGAGCAGACCUGAGGCUGAUGGAUCUGGCAGCCCAUGAACUCCCCCCUUUACAUGCUUUCCUUGUGUAAUUACAGUAAUGGAAGUCACUGACACUGUCCAGCUGAAGAGGAGCUGCAUGGUUUUGCUGGGCAUUGCAGGCACUUCCUAAUGCAUCAGCGCCCAUGAGUCUCGUGGGUGCAGCCUUCACCCUGUCCCUACCGAGCAGGCUCCAGUCUGGCUGCUCCCAUCUAAUAGCUGGGAAAUUAGGGCUGGGAGCAAGCAAGAGCUGCUUGCAGUGACGCAGAGGGCUUCAGUGGUGAAGCAGAGGCUGAAACUCAAGCAAGGAGCCUAUAGAUGAAGCGCUGAGCACUUCACAAUGGCAUGAUGCACUUCCAUAACCUUGCAGAGUACUUGUGUAAUUUUUCAGAUAGAUGAAGCAGUAAGUAAGCCAUCUGUGACCCCACCAAAACAAUUUCCAAAGGCAGUAGUAUUAAAGGAAAAUAGAAAAAUCAAACAUUGAAGUGUAUGGAGGUCUGCCUCAGGCAGUUCUCAGUGCCUACAGGGCAGGGAGCUGGGGAGAGGAGGAGGUUAGGUGGGUUACAGUCCAGAGAAUGAUAUUGAAAUACAUGAGCCAUCCCUGGGAAAGGUGGAUCUGCAAGCACUAGGUGAAAGAGCAUGAUGAGGGGGGUGGGUUAGGUGGGGGUGUGGAUUCCAGGAAAGGGUUUAUUUCUUAGAUUGCAGAUACUUAAUGCUAUUAGCAUCCAAAUGGCUCCCGCUGGUCUUUGAAGUCAGCAUCUCAUUGAGAAGUAAAGAGCAAAAGAGGUGUGGGGAAUAAUGCAUUUAUUUCAUUUCUGGCUGGUGAAUAUAUUUCUUUGCAAUGUUGAGUUAGCAACGAGACUGUGCAUGGUUUAUUUUGGGAGCACUGUCUCUUCAAAACAUGAGGUAUUUAUCACUUCGGUUGUUUUUUUUUUCCUGUUUCAUUAUGUUUUUUUGGUUUUAUUUGUUUUUUUGUUUUUGUUUUUUGUGUGUGUGUGUGUGUCUUAGUACUCAAACUUGCUUUAUACAGAAGACAGCAGAAAGCCACAAAAUUGGAGCCUCAGUAAUUUCUUUACACCCACCAUUUGCCAGUGUUCUGGAUUGGAAACCAACUGCAACAGCUACUGAGAGUCUCAUUCCUCCUCCACGUGAACCUCCUUCCAGGGAACUGUGAAAAUUCCCACUUCCAUCUCCUUCGCAUACUGGGGUUUCAUGACCAUUAAAACCCGUUCCUGGAACCAUGGGAUGGCCCCACAGCAUGCUUUUGAUCCAGCUCAGAUGUGGGCUUCUCCGUGGGAUGAGUGCCCAGCAAGUCCAGCCAUCAAAACCUACCUAGACCCUAUGGAGCUGCAUGCUCUGACUCAUCCCUACUGAAAUGUCCCCACACCCUGCCCCAGGGCUGUGCAUUCCUGGGCACUGGUUGCCUGUGCCUCAUGAGGUCUUUCUACCAAACUCAUCACUUUGGCUUGGUUCUGCAUCACCACACUGAAACUGUGCAAACUGCAAGCCACCAAACUGUACCUGUGAGCCACCUCACGGGGCACAUGUCCCACAGUGGCUUGGCUGCUGGACCACUCAGGGUGGGAUGCGCAACACACUGCAAGGAAUUUAGUUCAGCACUGGUGCUGGUAGAGCACGGAGCUGGGAGAGCAGCAUCCCUAAUUCAGGUUGAUGCGUAGCUGUGUUGGAGCCCUUUCUGUAAACCACUUCAAAGGGCGUUUUGCUGUUUUGUCUCUUCAUUCACUGUUCUUUCCCACUUGUGCAUUUUGUGCAAUUUUAAAAACUUCUUGCAUGUAUUCCAUUCCUCUUAUCCUAGACCAAGUGGCUAUCUUCUCUUCUUUCUUAGCUGGCUUGUUCAUGCAGAGGCAAGGAGUAGCAAAACAUGUUUUUCCUUCUGAAAAGAGAGAAAAUAAAUGUUUGAUACCUGAUAAUAGUUUUUGUUGUUUGUCUGAGGCAGCUUGAAAUCCUUAGGGAAAAUCAGAAUUGUUCCAUUAGGAUGAGCUGCUUGCAAGCAUCCUGCCAAACUGGAACAGCCCUUCAAGCUGUACUGAAAUGAAUUCAAACCCUCCACAGAUAAGCACAACAUAGGGUAUAAUUUUACUUCAACAGAAGGAAAAAGUCCAGUACAUCAUCUCCUUUUAUUUCAGUGUCUGGUUGUCUUGACACCCAUGUACAUAUAGAAAUAUGCUUUCUUCACAUGUAUUUACUGAGGCACUCAAGCUAAAUGCAAUUGAGCCUGGUGGUUGCUGGGAUGGUUCAUCGUGCACGUCCAGGUGCCAUCUGUACACAGGGAAGCUGGCAAUGCAGUAAAUGGCUGUUUUCCCUUCUUUAAGAGAUGCAUGUUGGGGUUGACUUUUGAUGAUCACUUAGGAUCUUAAGCUUUUGUGCUUUUGCAUUUACCUUUGUGUUGGCUAAAUUUCAGUUCACUUACUUCCCUGUGAACAAUUCUUUUUUUGUUGAAUAAACUAUUCCUUGCAAACCAUAACACUGAUGUCAUUGUUGUUGUGGGGGUUUUGUUUGGGUUGGGUUGGGUUUUAAGCAGCUGUUGCCACCCAAUGGUGGAUUUCCCUUCAUUAUAUAUCUUCCAAAUACACCCUUUAACUGGUUUUCCACCAUUCUCACCUUGUGGAUUCCUAAAUAUUUUUAUUUAGUUUUGUGGAAAUGUGAGUUCCUCUCGAGGAAAUGGAAGCCUCCUGACAAUAAGCUUGCCUUUCUUAGUUGUUUUCCAUGAACUUGUAUGGUAUGCUAUACAGAUCUCUGUCAAGUUUCCAAAGCAAUUAGCUUGAAAGCCACCAUUCAGAUGGGGCAGUGUUGUAUACUUAAAUCUGUUCUUUCUAGUAGUUAUUGGUUAUGCCUGCUAGGAAAUUUCUGGAUCCUACUGGGUCCACAGUGGGUUUUUAACCCUCCCAUUCUCAUGGAACUGUUGUGGAAGGCAGAAUCAAAGUCUGCUUGGCAUUUGCCCAGAGCACGCACCUCAAACAUACAAGCUUGGGCAGAGUAUUGUGUUCAUGUGGCUCCAUGGCUUUUGUCUUAAGCUGAAUUGAGUCCAGUUGACCUUAGCACAAGUGGAGCAAGCCAAGGUCUGCCCAAACAUGUCUAGGUAGACGUGUCCCACUAGAGUUCCGUGAAAUUCCUGCUCCAUCUGCUUGUCUCAGUCCUAGAUCUUGCCUUUGGCUGCCCCUAGCACUGGACAUAUAGAACAUGCAUAGCUAUAAUCAAAGUGAUGCUGAAAAUGCCUGCAAUUUAAAAGUACUGUGUUAAUAAAACAGAAGGAGUUGUUGAUAUUCAACUAAGCAGAAUCCUGUUGCUUCUCAGAGAAAAGUGUUUUCAUCUUUGGAGCAACUCUGGCCAAAAGCUCUGGUAGUGACUUAAAGGGCAGGUGAUUACAACAUGAAAAACACAGUCUAGCCCAAGAAACACUUUUGUGUGUGUAUUUGCAAAAUUUUUUGUUUUGAGCCAUGAAAAAUGCUUCUGUCUGAGGCUCUAGUUGGGGCCUGGGGGAAAGCAAAGCAACUCCCCCUGCAUGGGGCAGGUUGGCAGUGAUGGGGCUGAGUCCCAGCAAGGAGCACUGAAAGCGGUAAGAAAGCUCUCACUUUAUUUCUAAGGUCUAGUGCGUUGUCUGUGGCUUGUGCCUGGCUUCUCUUGUUUCUGUGCGGACUCAAACCAAGUUCAAAUAAUGAUGAAAAACAAAAACAAAAAAGUGAUGCAACGCACGUCUCAUAUGACUAUUGGAUUUUCACUAGGCAUUGAGCUGGUGGCACCUGCAGUGAUGUGGGGCAGGAUCAUCCCCCUUAGCAUUGCAGAUGGACUGGCCAUGGAAGUCCUUUCUGAACGGACAUAGCCAAGGGAAAGUUAUAUCCACAAGGAAUGUGGGUUUUUUUGUUUUUUUUUUUUUGUUUUUUUUUUUUGUUGUUGUUGUUGUUUUUGGGGUUUUUUUUUGAAGAUGCCUGUACAUCUGCUGAGUAGCAUACAUAGAGCCUUGCAAAGCUACUUUGCUGAAUUGCCAAUGUCAGAGCUGCCUGAUGUGUGUUCCUGGCCAUAGGAUGCCUUCUGUGCUACCAAGAGUGAUGUAGAGAUGCUCAUAGUAACAGGUAGGAAUCUUCUGUGAUUUAACUGAGAACAAGCGAGACAUUUUAUAUGCCCAGAUGCAACAACAGUGCACCUGACUGAAGUAUAGACAGACUCUUACUGCACUGUGAAAUGCCAGCAGGUAGCUUGUGGUCUCCUGGCAACAUUUUGUGAGUGGGCUUUUGGGCCAUUUUCUGUGCUGUAAAUGUAGGAUUCAUACAUAGUACGAAGGGAUAUCAGACCUUGAUGGGUGUUAAACAUGCUAUUCACGCCACUGUGACAAGAGGAGCAUUAACUGUGCUCCAACAUUCACCUUGUACAAAUGGUGAAUCAAAGACCGUCCAUCCCCCAAGGAGGUCAUGGUCUGGAACACUGACAGAAGGAUGUGGUUGGAUACAUGCAGAUGGGGGAGUAAAAUGAAAAUGCCAGGAUGCUAUUGAUCAUCUUGUCAGAUGCAUCUCAGGACACCAGGACACUUACUGUGAGGUUUCUUGUAAAUGUCAUGGCAAAAAAGAGUUUUGAUGAAGUCAGUGAGAUUGUUUGGCAGAUAUCAGGGGAAUUCCUACCAGGCAAGAAAGGGAGCAGGAAAGGAGAAAGUAUUUCCUGUCAACAUGUUUUAUAUUGAUUAGCCCAGGAGACCUGCUUGCAAAGAAGUAGAUUUUGUAAGAGUGAGCAGCAGGUAACAGUGUAGGGUCUGAGUUAGGCCUUGAGAGUUAGGGAGCUCUUGUGUGAUGAGGUAGGGAAAGAGGGGAUCUUUGAAAAGGUGAAGUGGGAUAGAGAAAAUAGAUGUUACAUUUCUGAAGGAAGGAUUGUUGGGUUGACUGGGAUAUGGGAAAAUAAAAGCUUGGAUGGCAGCAGUGGAUUUGGAUGCUGGAUGAAAGGGCAUCCAAAAGAUGUCCCAAGACAUUAUUUUGAACUGAAGUAGAGAGGGAUGUUUGUGGGUCAUGUGUGAGGAGAAGAUCUGGGUGUGUGUUUUGAUGGAGGUGAAGGGAAGGUAGGAAAGAAUGGGACCAUGGUCAAAACCCACAGAAGGGAGACCUGAAGUUGGGCUGGGGAAUUAUGAAGAGAUAGGAAAGGAGCAAGGCAGGAUUCUUGGGAAUUCUGACCUUUGGUUAAAAACCCGCUGCAUUUUUCAGCAAAACCAUGAACAAACAAGUACUGUUAGUGCAUCCAGACCCAGACUGGAUCCUCUGUAGCUCAACCUAUAAAGAUAGUGAAAAGGUUUGAGUGUAACAUGAUCAGCAUCGGCUUAGUGGUGUGUGUGUGUGUGUCAUGGACCUGUGCUGCACAGCGAGGUGCCUCUGCAUGCUCCCAUUCCAUCGCUGCACACUUGUGAUGGGAUCCUAUUCCCAUAAAAUAGUCAUGUGCUGACGUCUCCUCCUGGUUACACGAGCUGGCUCUGGAAAACCUCAGCUCCUAGAUUACAAACAUAGCAGGGCUCUGUCUGCAAAGGUGUAAGGUUACAAAACACACACACACUCACGCAGCUUAACCGAAACCGCCUCAUUUUUAGCAGUUGUGAGGGUUUAUUCACUGCAGGGCUGUGGAGGAAUGCAGGAAUGUGAGUGGCGUUAAACCUAUUCAUUUGGAGGGGGAGUCCUCUCCUCUCCCCUGCUCCAGCCUGCUUAGCUUUAAUGGUAAUUGCACCUCUUGGCUGGCUGAGCUGGCCGUCUGCCCUCCCGGUGCAGCUGGGGAGAAGAACUGGAGCCAGGAGGAGCAAAGUAGCUGUCAGUGUGGGGUGGCUGUGUCAGUGUGGGGCUGUCCCUUGUCCUGUGAGCCCACAGCCUCCCUGCUUUAACCUAGUGCUUGGAUGGUGAGAAGGAGGCAUGCUUUUUAGCUGUGGAGUUUGGGCAGGGAGGAGUAGAGUCAUAGCCUAGCUCCUAUGUAUCGUGCUGGGGAAUGCAUUUCCCUUUCAUUUUUCUAUAUUUUGUACUUAAUGUUAAUCGUUCCCAGACGCACCUAACAGUACCUUGGCAUUUAAAAAUCAAAUACUGAUCCUAAAAGCCUUGCCACUUCAGAAAAGAAAGGAAGACAAACAAACAAACAGAAAAAACAAGAGUUUUUUGUUGGCUUGUUAAGAAUGUGAGAGAUGCAGUAAAAUCGGCUUUUUGGUUUAUACGUGCUGCCCAUUCCCAGGGGAGGAAUGCGGACCUCUGCAUGGCCAACUGCCACCGUCACCACUUCCAGCCUUGCUGCUGAGGUUUCAUGUGAAGCCAAAGGGCCUGGGAAGUUUGGGAAACCAGUGACACCGGAUCCGUACCACAAAGGUGAAUGCUGCAUGCUCGCUGCGUGUGUGUGCAGAGACACGGUGGCUCCGGCUUUUGCCUCCAGGAGAGAGCUGCCCACGGACAGUCAUGCUGACAGUGUAACAGAAGCAGCUGCGUGUGAGCCCCAGAGAUGUGUGGAGGUUUUUAUUUAAGGCCUGUCCUUAAAGGAUGCUGCCUUGAAGGGUCUUUAGUGAGGAUGGAUGCAGCCUAACCCAGUCAGUCUGUCCUGCCACUAGCUGGGAAUACCAGCACUUCCAGUGAUGCAUGCUGCUGGGAGACUGUUGUGCCUGAAGGGUUAAAUUAGUGGUGCUUUCAAAGCUGGGAUGCAUUCAGAGUAUUGCAAUUGCACUUACUGAUACCGGGAAAUCUUAGUUCAACCCUCUUUCCCAGCAGGUCUGCGUGAUGGUGAAGUGGUUGUUGCGUACCUGCACUGGGAUGGAGCUGAGGUGCUCAGGCGUAGUGCUUCUGCACUCAGUGUCGGGACAUUAUUGCCUUGUUCCUGUGCUUCAUCCAGAUAGAACUGAAGCAGAAGUAGCCCUCCAUGCUCCAUUGUCAGACACAUUCAUUUUUGGUCAUGGGCAUCACUGAUGGAUAGCUCCUGUCCUGUCCUGUGGUAAUGUUGGCAGACUUCUCAGGAGGUGUGAACUUUGGACACAUCAUCCUUAGCUGUUAAAGUAGUAAUCCUUUAGUUGUUCAUUUGCAAGAUAGUUUAGGAGGUUAAGAGAAGGACAACUGAAUUAAUGUGAGGAAUAUGAGGGGAUGGGGUGGGCAGCCUGGGGUCAAUAGAGCAAGUGGAUUAAUUAAAGAAGAGUAAACAGGAGCCUCAUGUGUCUGUGGCAAAAUGAGAAACACUGUUCUCUCCACUUGACACAUUUAGUGCCCUGGAUUGCAAAGCAGCAGUUCUUCACAGCAUGUAGGAGAAUAGAAAUACAUCGCUUCAUCUCACAACUUUGAACUAAAAUAAAGAUUUAGGUAAGACGCUAGGACAAAUUUUUUCACUGAGAGGGCAGUGAGGCACUGGCACAGUCUGCCCAGAGCAGCUCUGAUUGCCCCAACUCUGGAGGUGUUCAAAGCCAGGUUGAAAGGGACCCUGAUACAUUUGGUGGGUGGCAACCCUGCCCAUGGCAGGGGGUUGGGACUGGGUGGGCUUUGAGGUCUCUUCCAACCCAGAUCUUCCUAUGGUUCUGUGAUCUUGGUCGUCCUCCAGUUGGAGUUCUGCUCAUUGUGGGCAUUUCUGUUGUCCAUGUCCAGGCCAUCUGCUGCCUUGGGCUGGACAGAGAUGGGGGAGUCUUUGGGAAUUUGGGGAACACUGCAGCCAUAUGAAGGCAGGAUUGAUGUGGUGCACAUGAGUGCCAUGUCCAGGUUGUUGGUCUUCUGGCAUGGCUGUGUUAUUUGUUAUUAACAAAAGUUACAUCUGUGGAGACUACAGGAAGACCCCAGUGAGUUUCUUGCGGUUGAAUCUAAAUCUUCCCCUUCUGCUUCCAGACUUUCUGUGUCAGUGCAGCUCUUCCAUCUGUCUUCUUUCCCUCGCCCUCACAAUUCCCAUCAUGACAGUUUGAAAUCGGAGCCAGCUCCUACCUGUGCUUCUGCCCCAACCCUCCUGUUCUUUACUGGCUACAGACGGAGCUCCUUCAGCCCCUGCAUUUCAGGAAAGAUGAAGAGCUGGAGUUGAUUGCUGGGUCACUCCCAGACCCGAAGUGGUUGUCUGGGGAGGUAUUUUCCAUCUUGCAAU